GGGGGUGUACUGGUUUCGACGGGGGCAUCAGAAGUUUGAGCAGCCAUUCGCAGAUCUCCGGGCCUGCGUCAUCAACCUGGUAAUUAAAUUAAACGCAGAAAAAAAUAAUAAUUUUGCAUUUGCUGCCUAAUUAGGCGGCAUGUCUCCCUUUAGUAACCCGUAGCUAAGGGUGAGGCACCAAAAGUCACGGGGAACUUCACUCCCAAAGCUUUGAGGGAGAUGAAGAAUGAUGAAGCUACUAAAGUCUAAAGCCUGUCGUUAGGCGUUAGAUGGAGGGAAUGUCAGUAUAACGACUGUAAUGGGAGAUACUCGAAUGGAUGGGUCUUCGGACAGGGGUUCAAUUCCCCUCACCUCCAUUA
rnacentral:tmRNA from 1 species